rnacentral:tRNA from 1 species
GGGUGAUUAGCUCAGUUGGUAGAGCGCCUCCUUUACACGGAGGAUGUCAGGAGUUCGAGUCUCUUAUCACCCACCA